GAGAGGAGACCCAAGGAUUGGGAGGCUGGAAGGCGCCGGAAAGGGGAAACCGGGGUCCUGCGCCAGCAUCUCAGAGGAGGGCGCCCGCUGCAGCCCACGUGGGGCUGGCCCCAUGGAGAAGGAGUGACCAGAACCCCUUCGGCCAAUAAGCUCAGCGAACUUCACCCUCUACCCUUCCCGAACAAGGCCCGGCUCAAUGGCUUUUGAUGCGUCCUAAGCUUUCAGUCCCAAGAGGGUCCUGAAGCCAAGGCCCGAGGUCCUCGCUUCCAUGCAACUGCCCCCGACCCUGACCAUUCUGGACAGAGCUGCGCCCCUGGCUGGCACAAGCAGGAACAGAAGAACCACAGCAGCUCAGGGAUCCACAGCCCUCUCUCAGGCACCUGCAGGAUCUGGCGCUGUUCCGGAGAGGCCCGUUGCAGACACUGAACCACCAGCCAGCUGCACUUGUUGUCCUGGAUGUCAGUGCCGAUCUUGCCCGUCACACUGGGAUCCCCAAAGAGAUCAAGGCUCCAGAUUGGAAUUUCCAACACCUGCAGGACAGACAGCUCCGCCCGAUCUGCUCAUACCGAGAAUGCGGUGUGGCCGACUCUGAGCUCGUCACGUCCUCCCUCGGGCCAGCUGCUCCUCUCCGCAGGCCAGAAUCACCUGUCAUUCGCCAAGCCCUGAGCGUCUUCCCUCCUGGGCUCACUGGCCCCCUCCUCAGGGCCUAGCACCACCCCCCCCCCAAACCUGGUCCCCCUGUCGCUAAUGAAGACUUUAGGCCAGGCCAGCAAACCAUACACCUUCAAGGGCCAAGUGAGCUUGGAGACGGGAAGAUGUGGGGAUUGGAGCAAGAUAAAGACAGACCCACACAUGUCCUGUCUUGGGAAAGUGGCCUCAAUUCAACUUCAGCCAACUGUCGCUACAUGGGACUCUGGACCCAGAUCUAGCAAUUUUCCAAGUAAUGCUAGAAAUCUGGUGUUUUAUGUGAAAUCUCUUCUUUGUUAGAUUUAGGGACCUUAAUUUUAAAAUAUUUUCGAAAACUACCAAUGGGCUUCCAGUUUUCAAUCUUUGCCACAGAAUAACCUUCUAGAAGAACUAGCUUACUUCUGCAGCUGUCCUCUGCUCAGAGGAAAGAGUUGACAACUUUAUGGCCAGUUCCAAGGCCCUGGCCCACAGCAAGUCUACAGGUGAAAUAUGUACCUACUGACAAAAGACUUUCCCCACAUUUGUUAACCCUUGGAGUAAUUCACUAAGUCUGGCUGCAGCACACUAGCGGCACAGAAACACAAACAACCAAGAAACCAAGUUUCAGGCCCAUCCCUCCUUGCCCCACCCCAUCCUACCCAGGGUACCCCCACUCUAAGUAAACCUCGUCUUCUCCUGCCCUUCCCCCUCCCUCUUACCAGUUCCACACACCAGCCCACGGUCAGGGCCCGCCGGAGACUAUCAGCAUCCUGCUUCCUGGGCUCCACCAGCUCCCGGAACGCUACCAGCACUGUCAAACCCCGAUGGUACUUGCCUCCGAUGGCAUUGUACUCCAGGACCUGGGGGCAAGGGCAGAGGGACAAGGCAUCAGGGUCUACAGAGCAGCUAUUCUGAGAGUUCUCCUUGCCCUUUCCCACUUCCAACCACGAGACCUAACUUUAUCCUCCUCAAUCCCUUCAGGCAGCCUCUGGAAUUGCUAUUCUCUUGGCUUCUUCCCAAAUCCUGGAGCACAGCUAGAAGUUCUCCAUUCCCCAGGCUCUCUCUGCAUUGUCUUCUUCAGUACACUUAAAGGCUCCAUACUGGAGAUUAAAAGCUGCUCCCAAACCCAGGACAGGGCUUGAAAUGGGCGAAAACUCUGUACGUGCUACUGAUAGGGACAGAGUAAAAGGACAAAGUAGGUGAUUAUACAAUUAAUUCCACUAGAGGACUGUAAGUAAUGAAAAAAAGUAUGGGAGACCCCUGUAAGUUAAUGAUCACCGAAGAAAGCAGGUUUGCUUAACCACAAAACCAAGCAGGCCUGCUCAGCAACAGAAGCAUGAGACAUGCCCCAAAACAAUAAAACAAUAGUGGCAUGAGACCCACAUCCUGCCCAGUGAGUUCAGUCAGUUAAUGACCCCUAGAACAUGCUCUCUGCACACACAAAAAACAAUUUAUGGAAAGGCGACAUUUCAAUGUAAAAGACCCUCAUUCAGGUACUGAGACCUGAAAUAAUUGUUCCAUAGUGCCACGACAGUCCUGGCUUAAACAUGUAGGGACAAGAAAACUCCCCUGCCCAACCCGGAGGAGGAGGUGAUGAUGAAAGCGUGACGUCUACUCAAGAAUGAGGAAGAAGGCGGUCUUGUCCUCCUCCCCACUUUUCCUUUGAUUAUAAAACUGUAGCCCACGAAGUUCUUGGGGUGCGGCACCCUCUCACCCACCGGCUUGUAAGCCUCACAAGCGUUCUAUUCUAAUAAAUCACUUCUUUUCUAUCA